rnacentral:ncRNA from 1 species
AAGCUUUUUAAGUAAAGAUGGAAGGUGGCCAUGGAAGUCGGAAGCCGCUAAGGAGUGUGUAACAACUCACCUGCCGAAUCAACCAGCCCUGAAAAUGGAUG